GAUGAACGCUGACAGAAUGCUUAACACAUGCAAGUCUUUGGCGAAGCUGUGCUUGCACAGCCUAGCCAAGGCGGACGGGUGAGUAACGCGUAAGGAACUUGCCCUGCAGUCAGGGAUAACAGACGGAAACGACUGAUAAGACCUGGUAAAGUCAGGCGGACUCAUGUCCAGCCUGAUGAAAAGAGAUGCUGCAGGAGAGCCUUGCGUCCUAUUAGCUUGUUGGUGGGGUAACGGCCCACCAAGGCGAUGAUAGGUAGCCGGCCUGAGAGGGUGGACGGCCACAAGGGGACUGAGAUACGGCCCUUACUCCUACGGGAGGCAGCAGUGGGGAAUAUUGGACAAUUGGGGCAACCCUGAUCCAGCAAUUCUGUGUGCACGAUGAAGGUUUUCGGAUUGUAAAGUGCUUUCAGCAGGGAAGAAAAAAAUGACGGUACCUGCAGAAGAAGCGACGGCUAAAUACGUG
rnacentral:rRNA from 1 species